AAUGAACGUUGGCGGCGUGGAUUAGGCAUGCGAGUCGAGCGAGAACCGUAGCAAUACGGGGACAGCGGCGAAAGGGACAGUAACGGGUAGAUUAUCUGCCCUCAGGUUUGGGAUAGCUGCGGGAAACUGCAAGUAAUACCAAAUAAUAUCUCCGGAUCAAAGGUGUGAUUCCGCCUGAGGAUGAGUCUGCCUCCUAUUAGCUAGUUGGUGGGGUAACGGCCUACCGAGGCGUUGAUGGGUAGCGGGUGUGAGAGCACGACCCGCGUCAUUGGGACUGAGACACUGCCCAGACACCUACGGGUGGCUGCAGUCGAGAAUCUUCGGCAAUGGACGCAAGUCUGACCGAGCGACGCCGCGUGUGGGAUGAAGGCCUUCGGGUUGUAAACCACUGUCAGAGGGGAUGAAAUGCAGGUGGGUUCUCCCAUCUGUUUGACAUAGCCUCAGAGGAAGUACGGGCUAAGUUCGUGCCAGCAGCCGCGGUAA
rnacentral:rRNA from 1 species